GGCUGGUUAGCUCACUUGGUUAGAGUAUGGUGCUGAUAACACCAAGGUCAAGGGUUCAGAUCCCCAUACCAGCCA